rnacentral:lncRNA from 1 species
CGGAUACUAGAAUCCACACAGGCGGCAUUCAGACUCGAGUGUAGCUCGGCCAACCAUAGUGCAUCCAUGGAUAAGUUCACAACUAAUUAUUUCUUUAAACAACUUCUAGCAAUUAGAUUUUGCUCCAGACAUCUCUUCAGCAGGCGUAUGGUACCCCCACUGAAAAUUUUGGUUAGGUCCAACCAUUAAUAUAACUACACCAAGUGCAUCCAAUAAAUGAAUAUCCAGGUUUGAGUGUGGCUCGGCCAACCUGAGC